UAUGAAGGAAGGAGGAUUGCUGGACUGAACGCCAGAAGGAAUAUGGAUUUCUGGGCUCAAAGCCAAAAGGCAAGGUCCUUGCUGGGCCAAAAGGAAAAAAGAAGGGUUUUCUGCUCCCAAACACAGCAGGAAAAUAGCAUGUAAGGUCUUAUGCAGAAGAAAGGAGGAGUGCUGGGGAACAAACCAGAAGGAAGGGAUCUUGCUGCACUGAAACCCAGAAAGACAGGGACUUUCUGGGGAGAAACUCGGAAGGAAGAGGACUUGCGGGAAAAAAAAGGCAGAAAGAUUUAGGCAUCCUGUGCCAAAACCCUGAAGGAAGGGAGGUUGCUCAUCUGUACCCAGAAAGACGUGGGAGUGCUGGACCACAGAACAAAAAGAAGGGGCUUUUCUGGACUGAAACUCAGAAGGAAGGUGAUUGCUGGUCAGAAUUGCAAAUGGAAAGGGUUGCUUCUUGGGCCAAACCCAAAAAGGAAGAAAGCUGGCUGGUCACAAAGGCAGAAGGAAUGGCCCUCUUCUCCGCAAAUCAAGUAAUAGCAGGUGCUUGCAUAUCAAUACACAGAAGAAAGAAGGCGUCCUGGGCCAGAAACCAAAAAUAAGGGCCUUGCUGGACUGAUACCCAGAAGAAAGGUGGCUUCCUGGGCAGAAACAAAGAAGGAAGGUGGCAGGGUGGGCAGACAGCCAGAAGGAACGGGGCUUCCUAGGCCAAAACGGAGAAGGAAAGGGGCUUGCUGGGCAGAAAUCCAUAAAGCAGAGUUCUUGCUGGGCAGAAACCAAGAAGGAAGCGGGUUCACUGGGAAGAAACCCAGAUCGAAGAGGUCUUGCUGGGCCCAAAGCCAGAAAAAAUUGGACUUGCUAUGCUGAAAGGGUGAAGAAAAGGAGUUUGAAUUGCCAAACGUCAGAAGGAAUGUGGCUUUGUGGGCCCAAAGCCAUAAGGAAAGGUCCCUGUUGGGACAAAAUGAAUAAAGAAUGGGUUUUCUGCUCCCACACCCAGAAGGAAGAGGGCUUGUAAGGCCAUACCCAGAAGAGAGGGGGAGUGCUGGACAACAAACCAGAGGGAAGGAGUCUUGCGGGACUGAAAACCCUGAAAAAGGGGACUUUCUGGAGCGAAAUUCAGAAGGAAAGGGGUUUGCAGGGAAAAAAGCAGGAAGAAAGGGGCAUCCUGUGUCGAAACCCAGAAGGAAGGGGUCUUACUGGACUGAAACCCAGAUGCAAAGGAAACUGGCUUGCUGGGAAAAAAGGCAGGAAGAUAGGGUCAUCCUGUGCGGAAACCCAGAAGGAAGUGGGCUUGCUGGUCCAUACCCAGAAAGAAGUGUGAGUGCUGGACAACAAAGCAUAAAGAAGGGGUUUUGCUGGACUGAAACGCAGAAGUAAGGGGUCUUGCUGGGCAGAAAAUCUGAGGAAAGAGAGAUUUCUGGGCCAAAACACAGAAGGAAGGGGCCUUCCUGUUGAAGGUUAUUUGUGGUCAGAAAUGUAAAUGGAAGUGGUUGAUUGCUGGGCCAAACCCAAGAGGGAAGACGGCUUGCUGGACUUAAAGGCAGAAGGAAUGGGCUUUCCAGUGCCCAAACCCAGUAAGAAAGCAGGCCUGUAGCUCCAUAUCCAGAAACAAUUGGGAGUGCUUUGCCACAAAGCAAAGGAAGUGGUCUAGCUGGACUUAAACGCAGGAGAAAGUCAACAUGCUGGGCAGAAGUCCACAAGCAAAGGCACUGCUGGACAGAAACCAAGAAGGAAUAGAUCUUGCUGGACUGAAACUCAGAUGGAAGGGUACUGGCUAGGAAAAAAGGCAAGGAAAAAAUGGGCAUAAUGUGCCAAAACCCAGAAUGAAGGGGUCUUGUGGGUUCAUAUCCAGAAAAAAUCAGGUGUGCUGGGCCACAAAGCAAAAAGAAGGGGUCUUGUUGAACUGAAACGCAGAAAGAAGUGGAUAUGCUUGGCAGGAAUCUGCAAGCAAUUGACAUUGCUAGACAGAAACCAAAAGUAAUGGGUCUCGCUGCAAAGAAACCCGGAAGGAAGGGGACUUUCUAGGGCUAAACUCAGAUGGAAGAGCGUCUGCUGUGAAAAAAGGCAGGAAGAAAUGGGCAUCCUGUGUCUAAACUCCAUAUGGAAUGGUGCUUGCUGAUCUGUACCCAGAAGGAAGCAGGAGUGAGGGAGCACAAAGCAUAAAGGAGGCGUUUUGCUGGACUGAAAUGCAGAAGGAAGGGAAC
rnacentral:lncRNA from 1 species